AAUGCCUAGCAGUGUUGAUAGUAAUCAGGUUGUAGACCUUUAUCCUAUAUAUGCAUUGACAGAUGCAGGUGAAAAGUUUGGAGCUCUAUUAUGAGCAUUAUUUCUUUGAUUUCUAUUUUCUUUCUAGAAUUUUCAUGGGGCUUGUGUUGUUAUUGUUAGGGCUCAAAGGAGAAUAUAUAUUCCUUACAACAACAAAACAAGGAAACUUGCAAAAGCUAUGCCAAGAAAAUAUGGAUGACUUCACUCCAGAGGAGCUUCAUACUUGGAGUGUGUUUUAAGAAACAUGGCCAGCAAAACCAUUAAAGUAUGGUUUGUUUAUUGUCCAAAAUGUCAGAAGCUUCUAACAAAGUUGAUCAAACAUCUGGUGAGCAAAGUGUAAGCUGAUGAAUGGUUAGGAAAUAGCAGGGAAAAGGCUUUCCAAGAAUUUUGGGCAAGGGAAUGAAGAAUUCAAAAAUGAGGUUUUGGUGAUUGCAAAACUUCAACACAUGAAUCUUGUUAGGAUUAUCAAAUUGGCAAUUAUCUGCCAAUUGUUUUAUUUGGUGUAGGCCACAUGAUGAGUGGACGAGCCUGAUUUUUAUGUUGAGCAUUCUUCGUGGUGGGGGCCAAACCUUUUGGACGAGUGGGAUGUUGUACACACUUGACACUUUGAAAUUUAUGCUCUAGGUGGAUGGUAAAUUAUUUUCUAACUAGUCGUGUGUGAGUCUGCCUCCUUAAAUUAUUAUAUUUUAAAUGUUAAAUAUUACCGAAGCUUAGCAUUCAAGACUCAAACCUUUUUUCAUUGUAGAUUCUUUUCAUUGACUAAUAGUCAGGUAAAAAAUGCAACUUCUAUAGU